UACGGAGGGGGCUAGCGUUGUCCGAAGUUACUGGGCGUAAAGCGCGCGUAGGCGGGUUGGUAAGUCCGCUGUGAAAGCCCGGGGCUCACUCCGGAGGGUCGGUGGAUACUGCCAGUCUUGAAGGUGCUAGGGGGAGAUGGAAUUACCGGUGUAGCGGUGAAAUGCGUAGAUAUCAGGAGGAACACCGGUGGCGAAGGCGGUUCUCUGGGCAUGUCCUGACGCUGAGGAGCGAAAGUGUGGGGAGCGAACAGG
rnacentral:rRNA from 1 species